UACCAGUUGAGAUAUCAAAGCAAUCAGCAGCUCUUGGGCUUCCCAUUGAAGGGGCUUCUUUACCAACUUCAUUGCAGAAAUUCCAGGCCUCAAAGCCCACUCUAAGCCCGUCUCUUCUCAUUCCAGGGUCUCCCACUGCUGAAGCACUUUCCUUAACACUUGCAGAAGAGACACGAAAGAGUAGCAGCAAUUUUAUCAUGAAAAAGAAUGACAUUAACAAGGGAAAGUAUUUCAUGGCUGCUGCUUUCUGUCCCUUCUAUUUUGGGAAACUAUUUUCUUACUCUCUAUCUCAAGGUAGCAGCAGGGGGAGUUAUUAUGGGACAAAUAAAUACAAAUUGGGUUGCAGCUUGCCAUUGAUGAUUGACAAUUCUGGGACGAAGGCACACAGACAAGGCAGUGGGGUCACCCACCGAUUUUUAUUUUUAUUUAUUUUUAUAAUAUGGCAAAUUUAGUACAUUUUUGUGCUAAUAUAUAAACUUACCCCAUUAAAAUUUUAUAAAAUUUUUUUACCAAAUACUG
rnacentral:lncRNA from 1 species